AUACGGAGGAUACGAGCGUUAUCCGGAUUUAUUGGGUUUAAAGGGUGCGCAGGCGGACCGUUAAGUCAGGGGUGAAAAGUUCGGGCUCAACCUGAAUCGUGCCUUUGAUACUGGCGGACUAGAGUGCGAUAGGCGUGGCCGGAAUGUGGUGUGUAGCGGUGAAAUGCUUAGAUAUGCCACAGAACACCGAUCGAGAAGUCAGGUCACGAGUUCGCAACUGACGCUCAUGCACGAAAGCGUGGGGAUCAAACAGGAUUAGAUACCCUGGUAGUCCACGCCGUAAACGAUGAUCACUCGUUGCCGGGCAGUGAUGUUCGGUGGCCAAGCGAAAGCGAUAAGUGAUCCACCUGGGGAGUACGAUCGCAAGGUUGAAACUCAAAGGAAUUGACGGGG
rnacentral:rRNA from 1 species